rnacentral:lncRNA from 1 species
CAGACUGUUGAGUAUGACUGGAAACCUACCUUUUGUAACCAUUGCCUCAAGUUUGGUCAUGAGACAAUUGAUUGUUGGUACUAUGCUGACAAUCCAGAAAAGCAAAAGGAGGAACAGGGGGACAUAAGGAAUCUGAAAGCCAGAGAUAAACAGCAGGGGAAACAAAUGAAGAAGGAAUGGAUUGUAAAGAAGAAUAUGACCAAUGAUGAAGUUCACAAGCAACAAG